rnacentral:rRNA from 1 species
UACGUAGGUGGCGAGCGUUGUCCGGAUUUACUGGGCGUAAAGCGCGCGCAGGCGGUUCGUUAAGUCCGGUGUGAAAGCUCCCGGCUCAACUGGGAGAGGUCAUUGGAUACUGGCGGACUUGAGGGAUGCAGAGGAAGGUGGAAUUCCCGGUGUAGUGGUGAAAUGCGUAGAGAUCGGGAGGAACACCAGUGGCGAAGGCGGAUCUCUGGGCCUUACCUGACGCUGAGGCGCGAAAGCUAGGGGAGCAAACAGG